UGUACUGCACAACAUUCUGAUCUGAAAGCCAGUUGGCGAGAGUUGCUUGCUUAGAAUGAUAAUACUUUUGAUUUCAUUUUAAAGUUAAAGGAUUGUUUUAUGAAGUGUUGUCCUUAGCCUUAAGGCUCUAAAUAGUGCCAUUUUGGACCACUGAAUGAUCAUCUUUGAUAGAGAAGGAAAAGUGUCUUAUUUGCAGAUUGUCUUUAGAUGACUGACUUAAAGAACGUGCUCUUUGGAUGGGAAAACUUCAGAUCGAAGCGGUAACGCCUCUGAAAUAGGCUCAGAGAAGGACAACAAACUGUAAAACUAUGGAUUAGCAGAGUUCCUCAGCUGGAAAGAGAUGACAGAUGGGGGCAGGACUGUAUCUCCAGCUUUGAAUUCCUAUCCAGUCCUAAGGAAAUCCUGUUGCAUUACUGACAGCUGAUGCAUCAAGUGAAGUUUGAUGAUAGCAAAAAUCUCUAUUGGUGGAGUCUACAGGCUGCAGACAAACCUUGAGGAAGGUCUCCUAUAGCAGCAUGAAAGGCUGCUGCCCAGAGACCAUUAGUACAUGACUGGGAAGAGAAGGACUUGGCUGUGAGUAGGCUUAUACCUUGAACAGAAUGCCGUUAAACAGCUGUUUAUUUCCAGAGUCUUCAUGGUACUGGAGAAUUGGUGGAUACUGAAUUCUUGGCCCACAGCUUGAAUAUAGAAAUUGCAAGUCUGAGAAAGGAAGUCUAGAACUGAAAAUGCUUCCCUGCGUAUGCUUAUAUGCUUAAGGUGGAUAGGAAUGCCUGAAGUGCCCAGACGUCAGACAGCCUGUUCCCUGUUAGCCCCCUGACCCGCAGGGGUGGACAGCAGUCAAGAUAACAACAGCUUACAAGGAACAGUUUCCAGCCACGGAUCUCAAGGAUCAAGACUACAAGAGAAGCUUAUUUAAUUCUGUCUGUGACUUUCUGAAAUCAGUAUGAAGCUAUGAUUCAAGUUAAGUUUGUUACCAUCAUCCCCAUCUGAUUUGAGGCAAAAUCAUGAAAACAUCAGAAGUUGGAUCAAGGCAUGCAGCUGCCUAAGGGACACAGCAAAAAAGAGACAAAACAGCUCCUUGAGAAUUUUGAGUUGAUUGCACAAGAGAAUGCUUUACAAAGCUAAGUCUAUUCCGCUGUUUUUCUUCCCUGAAUGCUGAGACAAAGCGAGAAGGUGGGUUGGUGCUGCUGUUGCCUGGCCCAGAACAGGCACUGACAGGGCUUGACUAUGUACAAAUGUAUACCCGCACUGGGGUAGCGUUUCUGAAACUGCUACCUGGGUAAUCUUGGCAGGAUUUGAUUUCAAUUAUGCAGAUAUCUUAACGCUGUUGGCCUUGCAAAACUUGACUCCUGCAGUGCUCCCCUCUGAAUGACAGGGAAGUUCAACAAUUUGUCCCCUGUAUCCCCCCUUAACCACCACCCUCCACAUCUCCCAUCACCUCUCCUAUGCGCUCAUUUCUCAUGUCAUGUCAAAUGGUUUUCAUGUCCUUUCAUGACAUUAAACCCCAGACAAGUCCCCUCGGGACAAGUCACUCGUCUAUCUAUCUGCCUACUACCCUUGUUUCAGAAAUACUGAAGUUAUUUGAGGCCUGUCUGCCUUGCCUGCCCAUUAGUGUAAACCUGGGUGUGAGCAGUGCUGUCGCUUGAUCCCUUUAAUUACUACUGAAGAGCCUGGACUUCCCAUGCCAUGUUUUUCACCUAGAGAUUUUCGUCUGGUAAGCUACUUGCUAUUUGCAAAAGCUCUACAUUAAUUUGUGAAUAUUAGGUAUAGCCUGAAUCCCACUGUGAAAUUCAGUGUUUGGGUUGGAGCUUUACCUUUUAAUUUUUCACAGCUUCAAAUGGUCAGAUAAGUAAAUACAACACAGGUUGUAAGAAUACACCAGAACUUUGAUGAUAAACCAAGUAGAGCUUCUACUUAUCUAUUAACUUUUUAUUUUCCCAGAAGAAACUGUUUCUGUCAAUAUUUGAAUGUGAUGGGGAUGAACAGGAGGAAGAAAUGAAGUCUAAUCUCAGCAGAUGGUUGUCAAAACUGCACAGAGUGACUGAGAAUGUAGAAAGAAAUAAGAAGAGAGUUUCCUCCAUUUUGUUUUUAUGUCAUGAAUAGUGAAUAAAUCAUAUAUUAUAGACAAAUGAAAAAUAGCAAAAACUAGGUAAAGCACUAAUGAAAAGAAUGAAAACAAGGUUGCUGAAGAGUAUUUUGUAGAUAAAUGUGUGUGAUUACUCAUAGACCUUAAAUGAAUGUUGAUAUUACUGAAAACAAUAAAAAUGGACAUAUGUAUUGUAUUUAUGCAUUGAUAAUCUCAUCUUGGAGAUAUUACAAGAAUGAUUCAUGUUGACAAGAAAAGAAGAAUGUCUUUCAAGCUGUUACUUAGCUACUGACAAAUCAAGUAUGUCAGUUGGACGCAAGGAUGGGCAAAGCAGACUUGUAAGACAGAUAGGCUACUAUCAGUUUUAUGUCUGAUCAUAGCUGGAAAUCUGAAUGUUAACCCAAACUUUUCUCUCCAUUUAGAGACUUCUUAUUCAUUGAUCUAUACCCUGUUCCUUGAUUUGUGCUGGAAAAUCAUGGAUUAGAACUGUCUUUUCUUAUUUGAAAAAGUUUCUAGAUACAGACCUGUGAUAUUUAUUUUCUUUGUACUUGGAAAGUACACAAUGAAAAUAGACAAUUGAACUAACAGAACAGGAUAUAUCUACCAGCCUUUUUGAAUAGUGUCUGAUUGCUUUACAAUGUUUGUCUGUGUAAAUGUGCAUAUAUUGUAUUUUGAUGCAAAAGUCAUUCCUUAAUGGAUUUUUUAUAAGCAGGCUAGAACUAUUUAAGUGUUCUGCAGCGUCACUGCAGAAUGUGUUUGUGGUUCUGGGGUUACUUAACCUCUCCCUGCAGCAGAAUUUAUCUGACUCACAGAAUAGAAGUACUGCAACAUGAAUUUCAAGUUAAGUGGGUACCUUCGAACUGUGUUAAAUUAAGCAUCUUCAUUGACUCAUUAAUAAAUACACUUUACGUUAAGCCUUGUUGUAUUAUGUGUAGUAUAUGCAAAAUACAUAUAAUGUAAUUCUACACUAACUAUAAUAAUAGUAGAGGAUAAAAUUACUUUAGAAACAAAUAAAACUGACUUUCUUCCAA